AUGGCGGUUGCCGUCGGAGGAGGAGUGGUGCUGAGCCUGCGCGUCCCGUCGUCUUCGGCGUGGCCGGCGGUGGGGCCUCGGCGUAGGGUGUCGUCGUCAGCGGCGGUGAGGUGCGGGGCGACGCGGGAAAAGAGGCCGGCGGUGUCCCCGGGCGUGGGUCUGGAGGAGGACCACUACCGGACGCUGCGGCUGGCGCCGGGCGCCACCAGGGGCGAGGUCAAGAAGGCCUUCCACCGCCUCGCGCUGCAGUACCACCCGGACGUCGUGCGCCAAGAAAACUGCGUGGACUUCGAGCGGAUCAACGCGGCGUACCAGAGGGUGAUGAGCAACAUGCGGGAGGCGGAGGCGAGGCUCGAGUACUGGCGCCGCCGUUACGGCCUCGCCGACGAGGACCUCGACCGGUACCGCCGCUACCUCAACGAGGAGGACGAGGACGACUGGUUCGCCGACCUCUGA
rnacentral:rRNA from 1 species